UGGGUUUGACAUGGAUCGGGAGUGCUCAGAGAUGGGUGUGCCUCUUUUGGGGUCGGUUCACAGGUGGUGCAUGGCUGUCGUCAGCUCGUGUCGUGAGAUGUUGGGUUAAGUCCCGCAACGAGCGCAACCCUUGUUCACUGUUGCCAGCACGUUAUGGUGGGGACUCAGUGGAGACCGCCGGGGUCAACUCGGAGGAAGGUGGGGAUGACGUCAAGUCAUCAUGCCCCUUAUGUCCG
rnacentral:rRNA from 1 species